rnacentral:rRNA from 1 species
GACGAACGCUGGCGGCGUGCCUAAUACAUGCAAGUAGAACGCUGAAGGAGGAGCUUGCUCUUCUGGAUGAGUUGCGAACGGGUGAGUAACGCGUAGGUAACCUGCCUGGUAGCGGGGGAUAACUAUUGGAAACGAUAGCUAAUACCGCAUAACAGUAGAUGUUGCAUGACAUUUACUUAAAAGGUGCAAUUGCAUCACUACCAGAUGGACCUGCGUUGUAUUAGCUAGUUGGUGGGGUAACGGCUCACCAAGGCGACGAUACAUAGCCGACCUGAGAGGGUGAUCGGCCACACUGGGACUGAGACACGGCCCAGACUCCUACGGGAGGCAGCAGUAGGGAAUCUUCGGCAAUGGACGGAAGUCUGACCGAGCAACGCCGCGUGAGUGAAGAAGGGUUUCGGAUCGUAGAGCUCUGUUGUAAGAGAAGAACGAGUGUGAGAGUGGAAAGUUCACACUGUGACGGUAUCUUACCAGAAAGGGACGGCUAACUACGUG